AAUUAAAUGCUGCAUGUGAACUCAGUAAGAAGUCACCCAUACAACAGUCUUGUACAAAGGACUGAUACACAAGCACAGGGAAAUGGAGUCACUGAGGCAUAAUACCAGAGGUGCCCUAAAUAUCCCAGAGCUAGAUUAGAAAAGUGACCCUUUACAUAAACAGAAACAGUUUACUUUAAAACCUACCAGCUCUGUUUAAGGGGACAGUAGCUAUUGGUGAUUUUGCAGGAGAUGAAGCAGUCCACAGCAAAUUUGCCUGUGUGCUUCUUACAACAGCUUAUUUCAACCAUAUCUGAAGCUAGCCCUUUCAAAGCACAUGCAGAUAUGCUAUUAUUGAAUACUUCCUACUUGCUCAACAUUAAUCACUGUGCCUCAUUCAAAUAUCCUUCUGUCUAACUUCAGACAUUAAAAACCAAACAGCUACUCUGACUCAGUAAACACACUUUCCCCAUCCAUGGAUGUAAGGCCAGGGAGUUUGAUGAGCACAAAAGGUGUCACUAUUUCCUAAUGAGAGACCUUAAUCCCCUAUGCACCAAGAGACUGAAAAUGUUGCUUCCUUAGAAGUCCAAGUCCUGACAGCCAUCAGGCUCCACAGACUAAAACAUUAGUUUCAUUUGCAGAUCUGCGAUUUAUUUUUCUGUUAAUAUUUCAGAGGUAUUUGCCAAAGAUUUUUACACUGAUGAGAACAGUAAUGAAGAAGAUACAAUUGUUAAAACAUAAAGGCGAAGAAGUACUCAGUCUGAUUGGAGUGGGCAUCCUAGUUCUGUGUAAAUCAGUAACAUUCUCAAAGGGAAGUCAACCAUGCCUCUCAGCAUGGUUCCCUUGCUCUUUCAAUUGAGAAUCUUAAGCCUUCACACAUCUUCAAAUGGAUGAUGACUAAGCCCUGGUCUACACUACAGGGUUAGGUCGAAUUUAGCCACGUUAGGUCAAUUUAAAAAUGACUGCCUCCACACAACCAACCCCAGUCCGUUGACCUAAAGGGCUCUUCAAAUAGACUUCUGUACUCCUUCCCACCAAGGGGAGUAGCGCUAAAAAUAGACUUUGCUGGGUCGAAUUUGGGGUAGUGUGGACGCAAAUGGACGGUAUUGGCCUCCGGGAGCUAUCCCAGAGUGCUCCAUUGUGACUGCUCUGGACAGCACUUUGAACUCUGAUGCACUAGCCAGGUACACAGGAAAAGCCCUGGGAACUUUUGAAUUUCAUUUCUUGUUUGGUCAGCAUGGCGAACUCAGCAGCACAAGUGACCAUGCAGUCCCCCCAGAAUCGCAAACAAGCUCCAGCAUGGACCGAACAGGAGACACUGGAUCUGAUUGCUGUAUGGAGAGAAGCAUCUGUGCAGGCCAAACUCUGAUCAAAAAGAAGAAAUGCAAAUAUAUGCACCAAAAUCUCACAGGGCAUGUUGGAGAGAGGCUACAAUAGGGGGACACAGCAGUGCCGCGUGAAAGUUAAGGAGCUCAGGCAAGCCUACCAAAAGAAAGGAGGCAAACGGUCGCUCCGGGUCAGAGCCCCAUACAUGCCGCUUCUAUGAUCAGCUGCAUGGCAUUCUGGGGGGAGGAGACACCCUACUACUAUCCCACCACUGUCCGUGGACACCUGCAAAGGGGGAGGGGGGUCUCACGCAACAGGGAGGAGGAUUUUGUGGAUGAGGAAGAGGAGGAGAAGGAGGAGAAUACACAACAGGCAAGCAGUGAAUCCGUUCUCCCCGACAGCCAGGACCUUUUCAUCACCCUGGAGCCAAUACCCUCCCAAGGCGGGAUCCCCGACUCUGAAGCUGGAGAAGGCACCUCUGGUGCAAAUGUUUCUACGCUCCCCCUACCAUCUCUGUGCCUGAGGUUAUCGCAGAUUAGAAGACGAAAAAAAACGCACUUGCAAUGACAUAUUUGCCAAGCUCAUGCAGUCCCCCCGCACUGAUAGGGCACAGCUUAAUGCAUGGAGGCAUUCAGUGGCAGAGGCCAGGAAAGAAUUAAGUGAGCAUGAAGAGCGGAGGCAGGACACGAUGCUGAGGCUAAUGGGGGAGCAAACAGACAUGAUAAAGCAUCUGUUGGAGCUGCAGGAAAGCCAACAGGAGCACAGACCCCCAGCUGCAUCCAAUGUAUAACCGCAUGCCCUCCUCCCCAAGUUCCAUAUCCACCUCACCCAGAUGCCCAAGAACGUGGGGGAGGAAGCUCCGGGCACCCAGCCACUCCAUUCCAGAGGAUGGCCCAAGCAACAGAAGGCUGUCAUUCAAACAGUUUGAUUGUUAGUGUGACUACAAUGUGGCCUUGUCCUUCCCUCCUCCCUCACCCCACCCGGGCUACUUUGUCCGUUAUCUCUCUUUUUUUUUAA